UGAAAGGUAUACAUCAACAAAAAGAAAAGUACAAAAGAGGAUUAAAAGGAAAAGGAAACACACAUUCCUUGCUUAAUAGCGGUUUCAGCAAAUAUGUUAAAACCAAACAUGGCCCUGUCCUUUUGUUCUGCAGAGAAAAUAAAAGAAAUCUUUUAAGGCAUUAAAAGCGUUAAAAAUAAAAAGGAAUAAUAUUUUAUGUAUUAAGUGCCAAAUUAACAAAAUAUACAUUUUAAAAUAAAUAUUACGUUAUAUUUUUAAUGUAAAUUAAUUGUUUUACUUUAUUUCUGUAAUUAAAUUAAUAAUAUGUAUAUCUCCCAUAAAUUUAUUAUACUUUACGAUGUAUUUAUGAAUAAAUAAAACCUAUAACAUUUUUAUAUUAAAAAUAAUUUUGUUUAAAAUGCAUUAGAUACUGAAUUUAGAUAUAUUUCAAUUGACAAUCAAUCAUCAAUUUGAUAUGUUGUGAGAGUCUAAUCUAUUUAAUUAGGUUCGAUUUUAAAUUGAUUAAAUUUUUUGUUUUUCUUACAUUUUUUAUAAUGCACAAAUAAAAUAGUAUUAUGUCGUGCACAAAUUAGUUUAGUAUGAUCAAUAAAUUCAACUAUAUUUUAAUGAAAAUUUAUUAAUCAAAUAAUGUAAACAACUCAAUUUUUGUUUUUAUUAAAUCAAAAGGUCAAAAUGUGAUUUGAAAUAUCAUAAUUAAGUUCUUAACUCUUAAAAAUUUAAUAUUAUUAAUUUGAACGUUUUGUCAUGAUUUUGAAUUGAAUACUUCGUAAUUGCGUAAGUUUUGAGUUUGAAUCAAAUAAUUUAUAGUUAUGUGAAUGAUUUUAUAAUAGUAUUUAUUAUUUCUUUUAAGACAAAAAUAACCAUAAUUAAAUCUUUAAAUUUUAAUUUAACAUUAUUUUUAGGUUGCAGUCAUGUAUGAAUUUGAACUCAAAGUUUAAUUAUUUAAAAAUUUAGGUUUAAAUAUGUAUUUGGUAUUAACGUCAAAUAAAAAAGAAUGAAGAGUUUUUUAAAAAUUUUAAACCCUUCUUUUAAUUUUAUUUAUAUUUUCUUUAUAAAAUAAUACUAAUUAUUAAAUAAUUAAUAAAUAAUUUUAUUAAUUAAUAAUAUAAAACAUUUUAAUUUUUAAUAAUUAUAAAAAAUAAUAUGUUAGUAUGUAUAUAUAGACUCAUGUGUUGUAUGUAUGACAGUUUAUAGUUUUUUUUUUAAGGAUCAAAAUUAAUUGUUUUUGAGAAAAAGUAAAAUAAAAAAGGAAUAUAUUUAUUAAAAUUAAAAAUAUAUUUAAAUUAAUUAUUUAUUCUAAUUAAAAUAACAAAUAAAAAAAUACCACAAUGAAUAUAACCGUAUCUAAAAAAUGAUUAUUGCUGUAAAUGAAAAGAACAUAGUUGACAUAUAAGAAGAAAUUUAGUUUAAUAUUGAUGUAUUUGAUCUCAUUAAAAACCAAAAGAUAGAGAAAUGAAUGGAUAAAGAUGAUGAGUAUUUAUUUGUUAUGCAAAGAGUAGUAGUAUCGAAAUAAAAGUAAAAGAUAUGGAAAAGUAAAAGUAUAAAAAAGAAAAAAGAAAAAAGAAAAGGAAAAUAGAGACAUUUAGAGAAAUGAAUGAAUGUGAUUACCUCAUCUGAUAUAAGUAGGUCAUACAUUACACUCAUCACCAGCUGCCUCUCAAACUUCUCUCCACCCAUUUUCCACAAUCCAAUACCGCGUUC
rnacentral:lncRNA from 1 species